GGAGCACUGCCCUCUGAGGUGAGGCGCCAGCUGGGCGGGUGAGGUCCCAGGGACCUUGGUCUCCUAGGUCAGGCCACUGAGGUGGGGUCCCAGGCAGACCCGAAGCCAGCGCAGUGCGACGUGGGCCAGGGCUGACUAGACUCUGGAGGGACCUGGGGGCCAACAGAAGGAUCCAAAGGGCAGAGCGCCUCAGUUUUCCAGGGCAUCUCCCACCUCUUCCCCGCCAGUGACCCUCUAUGUGUAAUUAUGAAAAUGAAACAAACUGUACCUCGAGUCCCCUUACCCUGCCCCUGAGCUGAGCCCCUUCUGCAGAGGUCGCCCCUGGCUGCAGCAGGCAGGGAAAUCAAGAGGAAGGGGAUUACUGUAUGUUUACUUAAUUUACAUCUAAGAUCACCUCUGCAAUCACAUGGGGCAGGAUGGUAUUUUUUAAAAUGGUGUUGGAAUAACACCAGCAUGGAGAAUAAUAAACUCUUGUCCUUCAUCCAAGCUAUACACACACACACACACACACACACAAAUGUUUUUUAGAUUUAGUCUACAUCUAUAUUCAAAAUCAAAAACAAAUUUUUUUCUGAUAUUGGAUUGGGGUAGGUAAGGAUUUCUUAUAUUGCAGGACUCAAUGCAUUAAACCAAAACAGAAAAUUGGUAAAUCAGCCCGGAUUAAAAUCAUAAAUAUCUCAUUAUCAAAAGAUAUCAUUAAGGCUGUAAAUAUAUCAGCUAUCAACUAAUACAGAAUCUAUAGAGAGAAUAUACAAAGGAACCCUAAAAAUCCAUAAGCAAAAGUUAUUUCAACGUUAAAAUGAACAAAGCACUUGAGCAAGCAUUUCACAAAAUACAUUCUAACAACCAACAUAGAUCCUAGGGGUGCUGGUCACAUCUAUCAUCUUCUAUGGAUCUUAAAAUCUUAUGGCUUAGCCUUAAUAGAGAAAGGGCUAGG
rnacentral:lncRNA from 1 species